GUGAGCACUACAAUGAAUGGUCCAGUCAGCCCAUGGUGAACAGCAUCCCAGCAGGAAACCUCCAGCUCUGUGCUGCUGUCCUUUUCACAGGCUCAUCAUUUAGCCAGAUUUCUAAGUUCCUGGGUGCCUUCAAUGUGCAGGGACUGUCCAAGCAGUCAUUCUGUCGGCAUCAGGCAAAGCUCUUAAUUCCAACAGUGAGCUGGCAGUGGCAGCUAGAGCAAGCUGAUAUCAUCCAGGAGGCUACUGAAUCUGGACCUGUGACUCUUGGUGGUGACAUGCGAGCUGAUUCACCUGGACACUCAGCCAAAUAUGGCAGCUACACCAUGAUGGAUCUCAAAAGAAACAAAGUUAUUGAUAUCCAACUUGUACAGAGCAAUGAAGUUGGGAAUAGUGUGCGAAUGGAGAAGGAGGGAUUUGUGCGAAGUCUGAGCACACUUUUGGAGAGGGGGGUCGAUGUGCAGCAAGUCGUGACUGACCGCCACACAGGAGUGCAGAAGUAUUUGAGGGAGGAAAAAAAGGAAAUCAGUCACUACUUUGACCCCUGGCACAUGGGAAAAGGAAUUGGUAAGAAAAUCGAAGAGCUGGGGAAGAGAAAGACGACCCAGGAUGUGAGACUGUGGAAGCAAAGUGUGGUGAACCACCUCUACUGGUCAGCAUCCAGUUCCUCCUCAGGACAGGAGGCAGUUGCAAAGUGGACUUCAGUUGCCAACCACAUCCAAAAUGUGCACAGCCAUGACAACGCCCUGUUCCCUAGCUGUCUGCAUGCACCUCUGGAUGGAGAACAGGCAAGACAGUGGCUCAAACCAAGCACAGCAUCAUGUGAGAAGCUCACUGCCAUUCUGUUAGCUCCACGGUUUGUGAAGGACGUAGAGAAGAUAAGCCCUCAGUACCACACAUCCACCUUGGAGGCUUUCCACAGUCUCAUCAUCAGAUUUACUCCAAAAAGUCAAGUCUUCUCCUUCAAAGGAAUGCUGUCUAGAUUACAAAUUGCUGCAAUGCACUAUAAUGAAAAUGCAGCACGCUCACAUGCAGCAACAGCAACUGGUGAGCUGAGAUAUGCUGUAGUGUACCCAAAGUACAAACAUGGAGACUACACAGUGAGAGCCCUGAAGACCAAUCCAACCUCAUUAUAUGUGCACAAGCUUAUGGACCUGCUGUUCGACUCUGUGGUGGUGGAUCCUCUCCCAUAUCAGGAGUACUCGGACAAAAUUACGGUUCCAGAACCGCUCUGUGCCCAGUUCCAAAGACCAGAUAAACGGGAUGCUGUGAGCAGGCACAGGUCCAGGUUUUAAAGUGCACGUCAGGUGAGCUACACAGGAGAUUGUAAUUAUUAGUUAGUACUCUACUCUGUGUGGUUUCUCCUUUUCUCCUCCUCAGCCAGGCUGCACACCACUGUACGACAGAGGAGUUACCUGUCGUCAUUAUGGAUCUUUAUGCUCAUCCACUCGUGACUCAUGCUGUCCACCUCCCAGAUGUCUAUUGAUCUCUACAACCUUUCUGCUCUGUGGCUCCCAUACAACUUGAAAAUCUUGGCCAGCCUCCUGAUCUUGUAACAGAAAAACCUGUGCUCCCGGGAUCCAUCUCCACGUUUGUCAUCACAGUGAAAGCUACCUCCAGUCUAAGGAACCUAUGAAACAUCACUGUUGGCCCAACCUCUCCUCACAUGGCUCCAGAAUCUCUGCUUGUGGUUUAGAGUUUUGUCAAAAAUCUUGAAAGUUAUGAUCAGAUUGUUAUCUAACAUUGUCUUAGUAGUAGCUAUAAUAAAUGUUAUCUUUAAAGCGCAAUUGUGUCUUUUUAAAUACAAUUAUAUUGAUAUUUUGAUGUGUAUAAAUACAUAUAUCACAUUUAUUAUCAUUCAUUUUUACCUAAUUGAACCU